UCGGAGGGAGGCCGCUUUAAAAAUUUUAGCAUAAGACGCCCAGUCGUUCUUUUCUUCGUCUCUUUUCCACUUUUUGUUUCCAUAUAUAUAUAUAUAUGUUCACCACCCCCUCCCCCACGGACGCCACCUCCCGCGUUGGCAUGGCGUUUCUUUAUAAAUUCUAACGUGAAACCUGCAGCAAACAUUUCGAAAAUUUCCAUUUGAAGCUCCUCUGUAUCCGGGGAAAAAAAAAAAAAAAAAAAAAACCAGAUCGGCGCUGGAGGCAUGCCGGCGUAAAAUCUUCUGUCCAUAAGAUUUCACUUCUGUCAUUCCAGCUGGAUUAUAUAUUCACUGCUUACAGAUAUUCGAUUUUUUGUAUCAUUUCUGGGAUUUUUUGAAUAUUUUAAGAAUUUGAAGAAAUGCCAGAAAUCAGCGGCAUUUGAAGCAGCUCGUUUUGAAAUUGAGUUAUCAAGAAAAAAGAGAAACCAAUUGAAGAAGGCGUCGAGCGGUAUCUCAGUCCGCAAAGUCGGUUUUGAUGAAAGAAUGAAUAG